AAUGAACGCUGGCGGCAUGCCUUACACAUGCAAGUCGAACGGCAGCAUGACCUCGCUUGCUGGUUUGAUGGCGAGUGGCGCACGAGUGAGUAAUGCAUCGGCACGUGCCGUUUAUUGGGGGAUAACGUAGCGAAAGUUACGCUAAUAGCUCAUAUUCUCUGAGGCGGAGAGCAGGGGGCCAUCGUUCCUUGCGCUAGAAUGGCGGCCGCUGUCGGAUUAGCUAGUUGGGGAGGUAAAGGCUCACCAAGGCAACGGUCCGUAGCGGGUCUGAGAGGAGGAGCCGCCACACGGGGACUGAGACACGGCCCAGACUCCUACGGGAGGCAGCAGUGGGGAAUUUUGGACAAAGGGCGCAAGCCUGAUCCAGCCAGGCCGAGUGAGUGAAGAAGGCCUUCGGGUUGGAAAGCUCGUUCGGCUGGGAAGAAAUCGCAUCCUCUAAGACAGGGUGUGGAUGACGGUACCAGCAAAAGAAGCACCGGCUAACUACGUG
rnacentral:rRNA from 1 species